rnacentral:rRNA from 1 species
UACGUAGGGGGCGAGCGUUGUCCGGAAUUAUUGGGCGUAAAGCGCGCGCAGGCGGUCUUUUAAGUCUGAUGUGAAAUCUUACGGCUUAACCGUAAGCGGUCAUUGGAAACUGGGAGACUUGAGUGCAGAAGAGGAGAGUGGAAUUCCACGUGUAGCGGUGAAAUGCGUAGAGAUGUGGAGGAACACCAGUGGCGAAGGCGACUCUCUGGUCUGUAACUGACGCUGAGGUGCGAAAGCGUGGGUAGCGAACAGG